rnacentral:ncRNA from 1 species
AAUAAGGCAGAGAAGAGAAGAGUAGUAGACUGAAGCUUUUACAGAGAGUUCCCGUUUGGUGGAAGGGAAUAGAGACAGGUUUAUGAAGAUGGUCUUAGAGCCGCAUAGUUGAAAUAAAAGGUGAUUUUAUUCUGUAUCCUUUUAUUUAGACUACGACGGGAUCGCCCGUUACAGCGACAGAGUAUAACCUGAAGGAGUCUUUGAUCCGGCAGGCGUACUUGCAGAGGCUUGCCGUGCGAGCGGCAGGUAAAAUUAGGUGGUACCACGGGAGCAGACGUCCCCGUCCUGAUA